rnacentral:rRNA from 1 species
AACGAACGCUGGCGGCAGGCUUAACACAUGCAAGUCGAACGCAUCCUUCGGGGGUGAGUGGCAGACGGGUGAGUAACGCGUGGGAACGUGCCCUUCAGUUCGGGAUAACCCAGGGAAACUUGGGCUAAUACCGGAUACGUGCGAGAGCAGAAAGAUUUAUCGCUGAAGGAUCGGCCCGUGUCUGAUUAGCUAGUUGGUGGGGUAAUGGCCCACCAAGGCGACGAUCAGUAGCUGGGCUGAGAGGAUGACCAGCCACAUUGGGACUGAGACACGGCCCAAACUCCUACGGGAGGCAGCAGUGGGGAAUAUUGGACAAUGGGCGCAAGCCUGAUCCAGCCAUGCCGCGUGAGUGAUGAAGGCCUUAGGGUUGUAAAGCUCUUUCGUCCGGGACGAUAAUGACGGUACCGGAAGAAGAAGCCCCGGCUAACUUCGAGCCAGCCGCCGCGGUAAGAC